GGGGGUGUAGCUCAGCUGGGAGAGCACCUGCCUUGCAAGCAGGGGGUCAGCGGUUCGAUCCCGCUCAUCUCCACCA
rnacentral:tRNA from 9 species